ensembl:miRNA MIR548AB microRNA 548ab
AUGUUGGUGCAAAAGUAAUUGUGGAUUUUGCUAUUACUUGUAUUUAUUUGUAAUGCAAAACCCGCAAUUAGUUUUGCACCAACC